AAAAAAAGAGAGGGAGAGGAAAUGCAGCUGCGACAGAGGGGACAAUGGAUGAGACUGGCUGUUACAUUUGCUGGCUUCACGCGUUACGUUUUCCCUCAAAUACAGUAGCCACAAAAAGGCGCUACUGUGUCCUCUCACCUCCAAAGCUGAGACCAUGGACGGCUGAGGGCUGGGACCGUUGCUGUGGUGGUGGGACUCCAGGGCUGCAGCUAGAGCCGGGGGUCCGGAGGGGCCGUCUGGGAUCUGGUGGCUAGCCGCCUCCUGGCUCUCCUGUCACAGCCAGGGGGAGAGGAGCAGAGGUCAGUGCAUUACAUUAGGGCCUAGGGAGUUUUUCCUGCUCCUAGGGAGUUUUUCUUGAUCACUUGAUUUGGAAUGGCCCAGAGUUUUCCCACAUUGGAUGCACAUUGAAUGUGUUUUUAAGUUUUCAUGUGAGAGGUAUGUAAAAGGUACAUAUAUAAAAUAUGAGAAGGAUGACACUGGACAUUAAAUCAUUGAGUGAGAAAAAUAUAUACGUGCUUGUUAAUUGAAAAGGUAUGAGGACAAUAAGUGCAUAGUAUAGAUGCACAUAUGUCGUGUUGAAGUGUACUUACGAUCAUAGAAUAUCUUUGAGAAUCAGAGUACUAUAUCUAUGACUACAGUCGGAGACACAGUAGCCGCUUACCCACUAUCGUUCUAUUUCCGUUCGAGCCACUGUGGGCUAGCGUCAGAGAAGCUUGAAAACCGAGAAACUCAACACGCCAGUGAAUAAGAGUGUGCCACUCUUCCAUUGACUUCAGUCGGA
rnacentral:lncRNA from 13 species